AUUGUUUGGAGAGUUUGAUCCUGGCUCAGGACGAACGCUGGCGGCGUGCUUAACACAUGCAAGUCGAGCGGAAAGGCCCUUCGGGGUACUCGAGCGGCGAAC
rnacentral:rRNA from 1 species